rnacentral:lncRNA from 1 species
CACAAUGUAGUCUUUAAAGAGUUUUGUUUAUGGGGAGAUUUUCUCUCUAAUAGUUUUGUAUUUUCUUUUAUAUUAGGUUUUUAUAUGUAGGACAAUUGACCAAACUAUAUAAUCAUCAUGUUUUUAGUAUGUUUUUCUUUUCGUCUGAUUUAUCGUCUCAAUAGUUUGCAACUAAUAGAUUCCGCAUGACGCCUUCUCGAUUUUGAACCCAACAAGUGGUAUCAGAGCUUACGGUUCAAUGGUCCAAAGGUGUGGUGAGACGAGAUUAAACAAGUUCAAAGUAGUUUUAAAAUCAAGUUGCAAUAAUUUGGAUGAUGAUGAAAAUUUUUGUCGAGCUACAUGUGGAGAACAAGUUUCAACCAUAUUUUCAACACUCCUGUUACUGCAUCUUUAAAAAUGAAAAUAAAAUAUUACUUUUAAACCAUUUUUUUACCAUGAUAUUUUAAACCUUAUUUUUAACGAUGGAAAGCAGCAGUUAUGAAGAUUAUAUCAAGAACGAAGUUCAUGCACGUGAUAUGAAGAGAAGACGAAUCAAGAAUAUUUUGAAGAAAAUUAAGUCAAAAAGGGGAGAUUUGUUAGGGUUUUGUCCUGAUUUUCUUACUAUAUUUAAGUUUUACUUUUUCUUAGAAGGAAAAUAAAAGUUACCAUAAUUACUUUUAUUUUUUCUAAAAGGAAAAUAUAAAACUUUUUCAUAUUUGGCAAACCUCUUUCUUGGAGGAAAGGUUUUGAGAGGUUUUGAGCAUCUAUAAAUAGAAGGUCUCUCUUCUCAUACCAUAACACAAUAGCAUCCAC